UAUUAAAGUAGAUUGGUCGUACCAUGAGAAAGGGGUGAUGGAGAAUUCUUUAGCAAAGAAAUUCACCCUAUAGUCGUUGACCCUACUUUGUGAUAAUAAAAGUCAUUUAGCUAUGAAAUUUCAAAUGGGGGAAACAAACCGGAGAGUGGAUUUAAUACGACAAAGUAUAUACCGACUGUAAGGAUGCGUUUUAAUUUCCGGCUUGAGUCUUUUU